rnacentral:misc_RNA from 1 species
UGUUCAGGAACUUUUCCUCCGUGC